rnacentral:lncRNA from 1 species
CGCGCCCAUCCGAUUAUGAAACCAAUCCACACACAACGCCUAGUAGACCGCACUGGAUCACAGUCCAUGGUGGACCAUGAUUGGAUAGCAGGUCUGCACCCACGCUCAUGGGCUCCAUGUUAGAAAAUACGUCUCAAGAUUCGAUCCACAUUGAGCCCACAGCGAGGUCCAGAAUGACGAAAGAAGUCCAACGAGUCUGAGAACAGUCCAAACGGAAUCCAAACUGUGAAGAUACAUGUGAAAGAAGGAUGGCACAGUGCAUGAGGUGACGGCAGCCAACGGCGGACUGAUGGAGGCUGACGAUGGCACCGUCGGGUCCGGAGGAGAUGCACACGUGGCCCAGCAUAUGGGUGGGUCCAGUACGGGCACGUGCGCUAGUCGGCCCAGCGCCCCUGGUGGACCAUGGGGCACUGGUGGUCCAUGAGACUGACGUGGACCGAACACAUGGUCCAUGCGUGGUUCAGGUUAUUUUUUGUACGAUCCAAUGGCCCAGAUCAUAACUGAUCAUGAUCGAAUGGUUAAGGAUGAAUUUGAGCUUGAUCAGGUGAUCGGUGGCCCUGAUGUGCAUGAUCGAACAGCUCUGGUGCGAGCCGAUCACGAUCGGACGGUCAUGGAUGAUUCUAGACUUGAUUGAGACUCUGUUUCCUAGUGUAAUAGUAUUUUGAAAUUUUUGAAGCCUAUAUAACUCUGAUUGACGAGCUGUCAACUGCAUUAGAAAGCUGGUGACGUCUUGGAAGUGCAAAAAGACUUCAACAGAGAUUUUAGAGAGCUUUU